rnacentral:rRNA from 1 species
UGGGGAAUAUUGGACAAUGGGCGAAAGCCUGACGCAGCAACGCCGCGUGAAGGAUGAAGUAUUUCGGUAUGUAAACUUCGAAAGAAUAGGAAGAAUAAAUGACGGUACUAUUUAUAAGGUCCGGCUAACUACGUGCCAGCAGCCGCGGUAAUACGUAGGGACCAAGCGUUGUUCGGAUUUACUGGGCGUAAAGGGCGCGUAGGCGGCAAUUCAAGUCAUCUGUGAAAUCUCCGGGCUUAACUCGGAACGGUCAGAUGAUACUGCUUUGCUAGAGUGCAGAAGGGGCAAUCGGAAUUCUUGGUGUAGCGGUGAAAUGCGUAGAUAUCAAGAGGAACACCUGAGGUGAAGACGGGUUGCUGGGCUGACACUGACGCUGAGGCGCGAAAGCCAGGGGAGCAAACGGGAUUAGAUACCCGUGUAGUCCCUGAGCGGGCUGGCAAGGCGCAU